GUGUCAGCCGCCGCGGUAAUACAGAGGGUGCAAGCGUUAAUCGGAUUUACUGGGCGUAAAGCGCGCGUGGGUGGCCAAUUAAGUCAAAUGUGAAAUCCCCGAGCUUAACUUGGGAAUUGCAUUCGAUACUGGUUGGCUAGAGUAUGGGAGAGGAUGGUAGAAUUCCAGGUGUAGCGGUGAAAUGCGUAGAGAUCUGGAGGAAUACCGAUGGCGAAGGCAGCCAUCUGGCCUAAUACUGACACUGAGGUGCGAAAGCAUGGGGAGCAAACAG
rnacentral:rRNA from 1 species